ACCAUUUAGUGGGGAAUAACUGUUGGAAACGACAGCUAAUACCGCAUAAUAUUGCUGGAUAAUUUCCAGUAAUGAAAGGAGCUUUCAAGCUCCGCUGAUUGAUGAGGAUGCGGCGCAUUAGCUAGUUGGUAGGGCAAUGGCCUACCAAGGCAAUGGUGCGUAGCCGAUCUGAGAGGAUGAACGGCCACAUUGGGACUGAGACACGGCCCAAACUUCUACGGAAGGCAGCAGUAGGGAAUUUUUCACAAUGGGCGAAAGCCUGAUGGAGCAAUGCCGCGUGACUGAUGAAGGUCUUCGGAUUGUAAAGGUCUGUUGUAAGGGAAGAAAUGGUAAAACAGGAAAUGGUUUUAUCUAUGACGGUACCUUACCAGAAAGCCACGGCUAACUAUGUGCCAGCAGCCGCGGUAAUACAUAGGUGGCAAGCGUUAUCCGGAUUUAUUGGGCGUAAAGGGUGCGUAGACGGUUUUGCAAGUCUGAGGUUAAAUUUAGGAGCUCAACUCCUAAUCGCCUUGGAAACUACAAGACUAGAGUAUAGGAGAGGUUAGUGGAAUUCCAUGUGUAGCGGUGGAAUGNGUAGAUAUAUGGAGGAACACCAGUGGCGNA
rnacentral:rRNA from 1 species